AUUCCUGAUGUUUAGUCAAAACCUCUUUUCUUGUAACUUGAAGCCAUUGAUUCGAGUCCUACCCUCCAGAGCAGGAGAUAACAAGCUUCAUCUUCCAUGGGACAGCCCCUAAUAUAUUUGAAGAUGGCUGACAUAUCUCCAUUCAGUCUCCUCUUCUCCAGGCUAAACAUACCCAGCUCCCUCAACC